UACGGAGGGGCUAGCGUUGUUCGGAAUUACUGGGCGUAAAGCGCGCGUAGGCGGCUUUGUAAGUUAGAGGUGAAAGCCCGGAGCUCAACUCCGGAAUUGCCUUUAAGACUGCAUCGCUUGAAUCCAGGAGAGGUGAGUGGAAUUCCGAGUGUAGAGGUGAAAUUCGUAGAUAUUCGGAAGAACACCAGUGGCGAAGGCGGCUCACUGGACUGGUAUUGACGCUG
rnacentral:rRNA from 1 species